UGACAGACGGCUGGCUGCACGACUGU
rnacentral:piRNA from 1 species